UAAAAGAAGUCACAAGCACACUGGAUGAAACACAAAAAAAGGCAUAUCAGACUCAAAUACUGUUUACAGGAAAAGCCAAAGUUCUAAGAAUGAAGGCAGUAGAUGAAAGUUUAAUCAAAAAGUAAUCAUCAGACUGGAAAAAACCCAUUAUGAAAUAACAAAAAAAAAAAAGGCUGGAAAUAUUUAAUUAUGACAAAUUAAUAGAUGUAAAGUUAAA